rnacentral:misc_RNA from 1 species
UUUGAUAAGCGUGAGGUCGGAGGUUCAAGUCCUCCCAGGCCCACCAAUUUACCUAUCCAUUUGCCUUUAUCUGUUUAUUUGCCGAUUUAUCGGUCCAUUGAAUUUAAGUGUUGGUAGCAGUUUUAUAAUGAUGAGAAAUCAUGCUUAUAAAAGAACUCCUUAUAAAAGGCUUGUUUUUAAAAUGUGACGCUUAUCCAUUUCGCUUAGGCAAGAGAAACUUCAAGCGGUUCAAAUACAAAAGGCUUUAAGUUUUGCAAAACACUUUGAAUUUUGCAAAACACUUUGAAUUUUGCAAAACACUUUGAAUUUUGCAAAACACUUUGAAUUUUAAAGUGAUCCAAGUUCGUGAUCUCGAAUUUAAAAGUUUCGAAUGCUUUAUCCUUUUUUGGGGGCCGUAGCUCAGCUGGGAAA